rnacentral:sRNA from 1 species
CUAAAGGUUCUAAUUGUUUUAGGUUGGUUGUAAGAAAAUUUGGACCACACACACACUCACACACUCUCUCCCUCCUGUUGACUCCCUUUCUCUCUCUUCCCUCUUAGUUUUUCUCCAUUUCCAUACAAUACGUACGGAUGAACCUCAACCAAACCAUUUCUUCACAGAUUGAGGUUAUGGAGACCAUUUUCAAGUUCCUUGCCAGCCCAGGAACCCAUUGAUACUAUUAUUUGGACGUGAAACCCUCGAAAACCCGAGAAACCAUAAUCUCCGAUUUGAGCAUUGUUCAUUCAAUCGUGAAUGUGAGAUUUUUAGAAGAUUUUAAGCUACUAGUGAGCUUUAGGACAUCUUCACGAAGCUCGGAGAAGAAAAACGAAGUGAAUUGGAUGUUGGGAAGUUUCUCCGGCGAGAUUCCAUGGAUUUUAGGGCUUGAAAUUGAAAUCGACGAUCGCAGCGGCGCCGGUGACGAUCUUCGGGGAUCCAAGGAAGAAGGAGGAGAAUAUUCUGUCAAAGUUGACGGAAUAUUCUGA